rnacentral:rRNA from 1 species
UACGGGGGGGGCAAGCGUUGUUCGGAAUUACUGGGCGUAAAGGGCGCGCAGGCGGCUACGCACGUCCGUUGUGAAAUCGCUCGGCUCAACUGGGCGGGGUCAGCGGAUACGGCGUAGCUGGAGCAAGCUAGGGGGCAAUGGAAUUCCCGGUGUAGUGGUGGAAUGCGUAGAUAUCGGGAGGAACACCAGUGGCGAAGGCGGUUGCCUGGAGCUUUGCUGACGCUGAGGCGCGAAAGCGUGGGGAGCGGUCCGG